rnacentral:rRNA from 1 species
UAGGGAAUAUUGCAAAAUGGGCGAAAGCCCGAUGCAGCAACGCCGCGUGGGCGAUGAAGGCCUUCGGGUCGUAAAGCCCUUUUUGAGGGGAUGAGGAAGGACAGUACCCUCAGAAUAAGCCUCGGCUAACUACGUGCCAGCAGCCGCGGUAAAACGUAGGAGGCGAGCGUUAUCCGGAUUUACUGGGCGUAAAGCGCGUGCAGGCGGAUUGGAGUGUUGGAUGUGAAAGCUCCCGGCUUAACUGGGAGAGGUCGUUCAAUACUUCCAGUCUUGAGUGCAGUAGAGGGAAGUGGAAUUCCGGGUGUAGUGGUGAAAUGCGUAGAUAUCCGGAGGAACACCAGUGGCGAAAGCGGCUUCCUGGACUGUAACUGACGCUCAGACGCGAAAGCUAGGGUAGCAAACG